rnacentral:rRNA from 1 species
AAUAUUUGACAAUGGGUGCAAGCCUUUUCCAGCCAUCCCGCGUGACGGAUUAAGGUCCUAUGGAUUGUAAACUUCUUUUAUACAGGGAUAAACCUCUCCUCGUUAGCAGAUCUGAUGUUACUGUAUGAAUAAGCACCGGCUAACUCCGUGCCAGCAGCCGCGGUAAUACGGAGGGUGCAAGCGUUAUCCGGAUUUAUUGGUUUUAAAGGGUCCGUAGGCGGGCCGAUAAGUCAGUGGUGAAAUCUCGCAGCUUAACUGUGAAACUGCCAUUGAUACUGUUGAUCUUGAGUAAAUUUGAAGUGGCUGGAAUAAGUAGUGUAGCGGUGAAAUGCAUAGAUAUUACUUAGAACACCAAUUGCGAAGGCAGGUCACUAAGAUUUAACUGACGCUGAUGGACGAAAGCGUGGGUAGCGAACA